rnacentral:rRNA from 1 species
UACAGAGGGGGCAAGCGUUAUUCGGAAUUAUUGGGCGUAAAGGGCGCGUAGGCGGCUUUUCAAGUGACGGGUGAAAUCCCUCGGCUUAACCGAGGAACUGCCUGUCAGACUGGAAGGCUUGAGACCGGGAGAGGUGAGUGGAAUUCCCAGUGUAGCGGUGAAAUGCGCAGAGAUCGGGAGGAACACCCGUAGCGAAGGCGGCUCUCUGGGACGGUACUGACGCUGAGACGCGAAAGCGUGGGGAGCGAACAGG